rnacentral:rRNA from 1 species
AAAGCACUUUUGUCCGGAAAGAAAACCUUUGGGCUAAUACCCUGAGGGGAUGACGGUACCGGAAGAAUAAGCACCGGCUAACUACGUGCCAGCAGCCGCGGUAAUACGUAGGGUGCGAGCGUUAAUCGGAAUUACUGGGCGUAAAGCGUGCGCAGGCGGUUCGUUAAGACAGAUGUGAAAUCCCCGGGCUUAACCUGGGAACUGCAUUUGUGACUGGCGAGCUAGAGUAUGGCAGAGGGGGGUAGAAUUCCACGUGUAGCAGUGAAAUGCGUAGAGAUGUGGAGGAAUACCGAUGGCGAAGGCAGCCCCCUGGGCCAAUACUGACGCUCAUGCACGAAAGCGUGGGGAGCAAACAGGAUUAGAUACCCUGGUAGUCCACGCCCUAAACGAUGUCAACUAGUUGUUGGGUCUUCAUUGACUUAGUAACGUAGCUAACGCGUGAAGUUGACCGCCUGGGGAGUACGGUCGCAAGAUUAAAACUCAAAGGAAUUGACGG